CUUUUUAGAUGCAUCUUGUGCCUUGCCAAUACCAAGCUUGCCUGUUAUAAGCUCAUCUACAAUCAAGGAUGGAUAUCAUCUUUAUACAUGUGAAUGGUAACUGCUUUAAAAUUACAGUCAAAUUUAACCAAUUCAAGCAAGGAUGUGAUGUCAACUCCAGCCCUUGUAGGAUAAGAAUGGCAAAUCAAAGCAAUGAAUGUCCACGGAUUAGUGAACUACUAAUAUAAAGCCUAGCAUCUUAACC
rnacentral:lncRNA from 1 species